GCACAUCUCCUCUGUUUCCUCUUUACAACUCCACAGUAUCUUGUUCGAAUUUAUUUAUCCAAUCAAAAAAUAAGUGAUAUGCUAAAAAAAACUUGUGGGAUUAAAACCAAGAUGAGGAAGAGGAAACCGUCGUUUGCUUGUAUGUCUCGGAGAAUUACGUGUGCUGAUGAUUAUAAUAAAUUAAAAGUAAGAGAGUCAAAUAUUUGUUUAAACAAGAAAACGGUAAGAAGGAUGAGACCAGGUU